GUUGAACGCUGGCGGCAUGCCUUACACAUGCAAGUCGAACGGCAGCACGGGGGCAACCCUGGUGGCGAGUGGCGAACGGGUGAGUAAUGCAUCGGAACGUGCCCCGUAGCGGGGGAUAACCAGUCGAAAGACUGGCUAAUACCGCAUACGCUCCACGGAGGAAAGCAGGGGAUCGCAAGACCUUGCACUGUGGGAGCGGCCGAUGCCCGAUUAGCUAGUUGGUGAGGAAAGGCUCACCAAGGCGACGAUCGGUAGCUGGUUUGAGAGAACGACCAGCCACACUGGGACUGAGACACGGCCCAGACUCCUACGGGAGGCAGCAGUGGGGAAUUUUGGACAAUGGGCGCAAGCCUGAUCCAGCCAUGCCGCGUGC
rnacentral:rRNA from 1 species